CCCAAGAUGGUCCCGUGCCAAGUUACCCACCUUACACAAUAAACAAAGAAAUUGGACAAGCGGAAGUGAAAACCCAUUUGAAACCCUGUGCUAGGGUUUCGUGGGCCGCAUCUAUAUAUAGUACAUGAUGGGACUCACUCCAUUCUGAGUUGAUUCCGGAGGCUUGAGAGAGAAGUCACGGGUGUGGGAGACUUGGAAAGAAAAUAAGCGAAAGAUAUGAAUAUAUUUUCUCAGGAAUUUUCUUUCCAAUGCCUCCCAUACCCUUGAUUUUCUCCUUCGUUUUUCUUCCAUCACAACACCUUCAUAUAUAUCUUCUGCAUCUUCUUGCUUCUGCUUCAAUGGGAGAAGUCACAGGUAUGGGUGGUUUGGAAAGAAAUAGGAGAAUGUUUAUGCAUAUAUAGCCACACAAAUACGUAUAUAUAUAUAUAUACCACUGAAUUUUUCUCUGUUUUUUUUCCUAUGCCUCCCAUACCCUUGAUCUUCUUCCCCUUCACAUAAUCUUCAAAUAUGGAUCACAACGAUUUCAGGAUCAGCAACUUCUUCUUCUUCUUGAGGAUCUGAUCAUGUUUGGGUCGGUGUUUGAGGUUUUGUAAUCUGAUUGUUUGUGGAAUCCAUUAGCUGCUAGAUUCUUUCUCUUGCUCAACUGUGGAGCUUUAAUUUUAUGUCUGGUUGCAGCAGAAGCUUUAGAGAGAGAUAAAUGGCUGCCAAGUUGUAGUCUGUGAAAUCUGAGGUCGACCGACAGAGAAAUGAAAUUCUUUAAAGUGAUCCUGAACCAAAAAUAUUUUUGUGGCUCGAUUUUAUUUUUUAAGAAUCUUAUCCACUCGUGGACAUGCCUUCAAUUUCAAGCAAUGUCUUUAGGUGCUUAUAGACUGUUUAUUGACAGUAUCCUCUUCCAUUAAUAAUGAGAUUUGAUUUCACGGCUUGAUUUGAUGUAUUAAAAAGAUUCUGGUUAACUACUGGACCAACUGUUAGCCUGAA